GGGCGACGAGAUUUGCGGCCGCCAUCUUGAAAGUGCCAGAGCACUGUGCAGCAUUUUCCUGUUCUAAUCGGCGUACCAUCGCAAGUACGGCUCGGGAUUACUUUUCACAAAGUCAUCGAGGAUCCAGCUUGUUCUUGAAACAUUGAAGUUUGUGCUCUGCAAGUGAA